rnacentral:lncRNA from 1 species
AAGGUUGCGUUGUCUUCUAAGUAUUCUGGGUGGUUCAACAAGUCCACCUUCAAAGCCUCUCCAGUUUCCCCAUAGUUGUAGUUCCAGUAGAUAGGCAAGGCACCACGGCCAUGAUAUGAGACUCCUGGUGUGCAAGGAUAGGUGUAUUUAUAGUAAUCAUCGCAAUAUAUUUUGCUAGGGCUCAUUUCUUUGUUGUAGCAAAGACCCCAAGCCAAUGGUCCCCCGGUAGCGACUCC